AAAAGACUGGGUCAAACAAAGGCCAAGAAAAGAAGGGCAGACCCUGACCAGCGUGUAGUGUCGUGUUUGGGACGGUUGACCAUAAGAAAAAAGUUGGCAGUUUCCAGUUGGACGGCCAAUUCACUAACUACAGUUAGAUCUAAUUAACUUAAGAGAAUUUAUAUAUAUAGUAUUUAGCUAGAUAAUGGUCAAUAAAGAAAAACAAUAAAGGAAGGUAGGUGAAAGAAUAAUAGUGCGAGGAAGUGUAGAUAAAAGGCAAAGGGUGAG
rnacentral:misc_RNA from 1 species